UAUAGGAGAAAUCACAUAGGAGAUCUCGUCAAGGAAUAUCGCAAAUCAGGUGAGCCUUGAUGUGGGGACUUGGGCCGGAGAGGAUUCAGAGUGGCCACGGUGAUCAUCUUUGGGCUUUUAAAUAAGUGUUGGUUUUCAUUUAAUUUCCUUUAAUUAUUAUUUAUUUUUGGGUUGUAAUAAGGCCAAUUUUAACUUUCCUUUUAUUUCUUUUCGGAAUUAUUUUAAUUUUAAUAACUUUAAAAAUUGGUUAAGAA